rnacentral:rRNA from 1 species
UUGACCUCGGAUCGGGUAGGGAUACCCGCUGAACUUAAGCAUAUCAAUAAGCGGAGGAAAAGAAACCAACAGGGAUUGCCUUAGUAACGGCGAGUGAAGCGGCAACAGCUCAAAUUUGAAAUCUGGCUCUUUCAGAGUCCGAGUUGUAAUUUGUAGAAGAUGCUUCGAGUGUGGUACCGGUCUAAGUUCCUUGGAACAGGACGUCAUAGAGGGUGAGAAUCCCGUAUGUGACUGGUCACCUUCGCUCAUGUGAAGCUCUUUCGACGAGUCGAGUUGUUUGGGAAUGCAGCUCAAAAUGGGUGGUAAAUUUCAUCUAAAGCUAAAUAUUGGCCAGAGACCGAUAGCGCACAAGUAGAGUGAUCGAAAGAUGAAAAGCACUUUGGAAAGAGAGUUAAACAGUACGUGAAAUUGUUGAAAGGGAAGCGCUUACAACCAGACUUGCACGUAGUUAAUCAUCCGGGGUUCUCCCCGGUGCACUUGGCUACGUUCAGGCCAGCAUCGGUUUUGGUGGUUGGAUAAAGGCCUAGGGAAUGUGGCUCUCUUCGGGGAGUGUUAUAGCCCUAGGUGCAAUGCAGCCUACUGGGACCGAGGACCGCGCUUCGGCUAGGAUGCUGGCGUAAUGGUUGUAAGCGACCCGUCUU